UACGAAAGGGGCUAGCGUUGUUCGGAAUUACUGGGCGUAAAGCGCACGUAGGCGGCCUUGUAAGAUGGGGGUGAAAUCCCCGGGCUCAACCCGGGAACUGCCUUCAUGACUGCAAAGCUUGAGGAUGCGAGAGGUUAGCGGAAUUCCGAGUGUAGAGGUGAAAUUCGUAGAUAUUCGGAAGAACACCAGUGGCGAAGGAGGCUAACUGGCGCAUUUCUGACUCUGAGGUGCGAAAGCGUGGGGAGCAAACAGG
rnacentral:rRNA from 1 species